CGAGUCGGCCAGGCGGCCGCGGCGCGCGGAACGGCCAGGAUCUGGUGCGCCGUGCGUCGAGGAAAGUCCGGACUCCACAGAGCAGGGUGGUUGUUAACGGCAACCCGGGGUGACCCGCGGGACAGUGCCACAGAAAACAAACCGCCGGCGCGAGCCGGUAAGGGUGAAACGGUGCGGUAAGAGCGCACCAGCGGCGCGGGUGACCGCGUCGGCUAGGUAAACCCCACCCGGAGCAAGGUCGAAGCCCGCACCACGUGGUGCGGGUGCGCGGGCGUUCGAGGGCUGCUCGCCCGAGCCCGCGGGUGGACCGCUUGAGGCACCCGGCGACGGUGUGUCCAGAUGGAUGGCUGCCCCCGCAUAUGCGGGACAGGAUCCGGCUUAUCGGCCGACUCGUUCG
rnacentral:RNase_P_RNA from 1 species